UGUCUCUGCCUGCCUCUCUGCCUACUUGUGAUCUCGCUCUCUGUUGAAUAAAAUAAAUAAAAUCUUAAAAUCACAAAUACUUCCCCCAGUAUUCCUGAGCCUGAGCUGCUCUGUUAAAAAAAAAAAAAAAAAAUCACAGAGGGUGAAACCCAUACGAAAAGAAAAGGAG